CGGUAACAGACUAAGAAGGGAACUGCAGAACCCAAAUUAGAAAGAAACCACAGGCAGAGAACAGAAGGGUGAAAGUUCAAGCAAGCUAGCCGGCAAAAAAGCAAACUUGACCACCAAGGAUAAAAGAGAUCUUAUCCAAGGAUGCAAAAGAUAAUCUCACUUUUGACACCCACUGAUCUCGAACUUAAAGAAAA
rnacentral:ncRNA from 1 species